GCCGGUUUCCCUCGAUGAUCUUCACCGGUUGUCCCGGGUGACCGGCACGUUUACUUUGAAAAAAUUAGAGUGCUCAAAGCAGGCGCGUAGCCUGGAUAAUGGUGCAUGGAAUAAUGGAAUAGGACUUCGUUUCUAUUUUGUUGGUUUUCGGAACACGAGGUAAUGAUUAAGAGGGACAGACGGGGGCAUUCGUAUUGCGACGCUAGAGGUGAAAUUCUUGGACCGUCGCAAGACGAACUACUGCGAAAGCAUUUGCCAAGAAUGUUUUCAUUAAUCAAGAACGAAAGUUAGAGGUUCGAAGGCGAUCAGAUACCGCCCUAGUUCUAACCAUAAACGAUGCCAACCAGCGAUCCGCCUGAGUUCCUCAAAUGACUCGGCGGGCAGCUUACGGGAAACCAAAGUGUUUGGGUUCCGGGGGAAGUAUGGUUGCAAAGCUGAAACUUAAAGGAAUUGACGGAAGGGCACUACCAGAUGUGGAGCCUGCGGUUUAAUUUGACUCAACACGGGGCAACUUACCCGGCCCGGACACUGGAAGGAUUGACAGAUUAAGAGCUCUUUCUUGAUUCAGUGGGUGGUGGUGCAUGGCCGUUCGUAGUUGGUGAAGCGAUUUGUCUGGUUAAUUCCGAUAACGAGCGAGACUCUAGCCUACUAAAUAGGCGUCCCGAUCUCUUUCGUCGGGCGUUCUUCUUAGAGGGACAAGUGGCGUUUAGCCGCACGAGACAGAGCAAUAACAGGUCUGUUAUGCCCUUAGAUGUCCGGGGCCGCACGCGCGCUACACUGAAGGAAUCAGCGUGUGCUUUCCCUGUCCGGUAGGACUGGGUAACCCGUUGAACCUCCUUCGUGAUAGGGAUAGGGGCUUGCAAUUAUUCCCCUUGAACGAGGAAUACCCAGUAAGCACGAGUCAUCAGCUCGUGUUGAUUACGUCCCUGCCCUUUGUACACACCGCCCGUCGCUACUACCGAUUGAAUGAUUUAGUGAGGUCUUCGGACUGGCGCUCGGAGCGGCUGCAAGGUCGCGCCG
rnacentral:rRNA from 4 species